rnacentral:rRNA from 1 species
UGGUGGAGUGAUUUGUCUGGUUAAUUCCGUUAACGAACGAGACCUUAGCCUGCUAAAUAGUUGUGAGAAACUUAUGUUUCUUAGCAGCUUCUUAGAGGGACUUCGUGUGUUUAACACGAGGAAGUUUGAGGCAAUAACA